UCAUCAUCUUGUGCAAAGACAAAAGCACAGGCCCACAUGGUCUCUGGCAGCAGCCUGGGAAGUAUCUUUCAUCUUUGAGAAACCUUGACUCAGAUAAAAUUAUGUCCUUGGUUUUGAUGGAGAGACGAAUUUCAGGAUGAGCCAGUAUAAACGAGAGGUGGUGUUUACUAAAAGACAUGUUUUUGUAACGUCAAUUUUAAAAGGCAGAUCAUGAACGAGUGAAAUUGAAACACACCUCAAAGGUCUGGUAUGGCUGGUAAAGUGUGUGGCAUAUCUCAUUGAGAGCUUUUGAAGCUUUUUACUGUUUUUAAGGAUCUAUUUCCUCCUAUUUUAUUUCUUCUUUUCCACAAUUGAGUUUAUAGACUCUGGAACUACCAUGAAUGGGAUUAUAACCCAACAAGACAAAAACAGAGUUUGAUAAGGUAAAACUGGAAUUGCCCAACAUGGUCAGGACUUAGCCUUUUCUAAACACAAGGAUGAUUCUAGUGAGACUACUAGAAGAUGGCAGAGUGACAUCUGGGUAGGCAGAAAUGUCUUAAAUAAAUAUAAAUUGUGCUAGAGUUUUUUGUUUGUUUGUUUUUUGGUUUUGGUUUUUUGAGACAGGGUUUCUCUGUGUAGCCCUGGCUGUCCUGGAACUCACUCUGUGGACCAAGCUGGCCUCAAACUCAGAAAUCCGCCUGCCUCUGCCUCCUGAGUUCUGGGAUUAAAGGCUUACGCCACCAUGCCCGACUGUGCUAGAGUUCUUGUUUCCAAGCUGGAGAGAGAAAGACCUCAACUAGACUCUGGGGUUGAACCGAACUGGCGAUGCACUGUCUGGAUUGGAUGCAUGUGUUCGUCAUUCUGGAUCCACAUCCUUCAAAUGUUGCCCACCGUGUGAUAGGAAGGGCACUGGGGCAGGCAGGGCACAGUGAACAGUGAGUGCAACGGUGGUGUGAAGAUGGGCGUGGUGAUACGAAUAAGGAAGGCCCUUAUAGGCUAACAUAUUUGAAUGCUUAGUCAUCUUGGAGCAGCACUGUUUGAGAAGGAUUAGAGGGAUGAGGAAGUGCGGCCAUGUUGGAGGAAGUGUAACAGUGGGGUGUGCUGUGUGGAUCCGGAUGUAGAACUCUCAGCUAAUUCUCUAGCACCAAGUAUCGCUGGAUGCUACCAUGCUCCCUGCCAGGAUGAUAAAGGACUAAGCUUUGAAAGUGCUCAUUUUAUGUGUGAACCUGAUUCUCAGCGUGGGAAAAAUACUAGCACCAAAUGCACGGUGACAUAACACCUUCUAGUACGAUGAGAGCUAGUCAGGAUGGAUAAAACUUGGUUGGAAUCUCAUCAAACUGCCAACAACAACUAUUUUAUAUCUUGAGGCACUUUGGAUAUCUGUUACAUCUUUAUAUAAAUUGAAUAAUAUACAGAUCAACUCAAUGCUGACUGCACUGUCUUGAGAAACACACCAAGGAAUUUCUGGUGGUAUUCCACUUCCAAGGAUCCUCGAGGUUUCUGCUGGAUGGAGCCACUGCUGCUGACUUUGGUGUUUGCUAUUGGACUGGACUGCUGAUAUCCUGACAACAAAGAUUGGAACUACCCCUAAAAACUACUUCUAAGACUGAAAGGUAUGAAGAUCUGUGGCAAGAGGCAUGUCAGAGAAUAAGCCGAAGAAUUCUGUUAUUUUAUAGCAUUAGAUCUUCUUUCCUGUCAAAUCUGUCACUUGUGCCCUGACUCUGGCUGGGAUGAAGAGAACAAGAUGGAAAUAAAGAUAUGGAAUGCAGGGUACACUAUGUGUUUCUGCACUAACUUCCUGAAUGACUUCCUGGAUUGUGUUGCUGGAGAUGGCUCUCUGUGGACUCCUGUAUCAAUGUUUCCCUGGCAUGGGGGCAGAGCAGUCUCAGUGGUAUGUUUCUAGCUGCUGUCCCAGCCUAAAGGAUUUAAUUAUGCGUGAAGAGUUGAAACUGGAUUAUUUCUUGUUUCUUGAAUGUUGUAUGUUCCAGGCUUUGAGCCUUAGCCUACCUGAAACUCUUUCUUGCUAUCUACAGACAACCUUAUGUUUCUGGGGUCAUCUCAAAUGCUGUUCUUUCUAUAAAAUAUUUGUCCUAGAAGUGAUCCUUAGUUGAUUUUCUUACAUCACUAGCUUCUUUUAUCCACCAUUGUAGUUAUUUGUGUCCUUAUUUCAUUUUCAUAUGGAAACUAUAAACUCUGAAGAAAGGGAGAAGUGUAACAAAUUUAUGUGCUGAUUAUUUAUUCACUUAAAAAGCAUUGGUUUUCCUUAAGCUAUGGAUGAGAAUUGAGUUACUAGGGCAUUCAGCAAAUAUGAGGUGGAUUCUAUUAAAUGCUGUUAUAACAUA
rnacentral:lncRNA from 1 species